rnacentral:rRNA from 1 species
GAUGAACGCUGGCGGCGUGCCUAAUACAUGCAAGUCGAGCGAACGGACGAGAAGCUUGCUUCUCUGAUGUUAGCGGCGGACGGGUGAGUAACACGUGGAUAACCUACCUAUAAGACUGGGAUAACUUCGGGAAACCGGAGCUAAUACCGGAUGAUAUUUUGAACCGCAUGGUUCCAAAGUGAAAGACGGUCUUGCUGUCACUUAUAGAUGGAUCCGCGCUGCAUUAGCUAGUUGGUAAGGUAACGGCUUACCAAGGCAACGAUGCAUAGCCGACCUGAGAGGGUGAUCGGCCACACUGGAACUGAGACACGGUCCAGACUCCUACGGGAGGCAGCAGUAGGGAAUCUUCCGCAAUGGGCGAAAGCCUGACGGAGCAACGCCGCGUGAGUGAUGAAGGUCUUCGGAUCGUAAAACUCUGUUAUUAGGGAAGAACAUAUGUGUAAGUAACUGUGCACAUCUUGACGGUACCUAAUCAGAAAGCCACGGCUAACUACGUG